AAACAUUCAACAGAAAAAAAAAAGAGAGAGAGCUCUAAAAUUCUCUCAGAGCUCCGGCCAGUGGCCGUCUUGGCUCGUCUCGGAGCACCACCGCCUUCGGCCAUACGCGCUUCACGUGCCACCGUCUGAACCACCGUGCCCGGCGGUUAGGGCAUUAAAAAUUUAUUUUUCUCUCACGAAUCAACAGCUUUAUACACGAUGAUUGCGACGGAGGUGAGGGCAUGCUGAUUCAGGCCUUUGAUUGCGGCGCAACAUGAGGCUGAUGUCGGCUGGAAGCUUACGGCGCGAACCCUAGCUAGGGUUUCUCAGAAGCUGAAACUCCUUUAGUUAGUUGGGCCUGCUGGGCUGUGUUUGUUUGUUGGAUCAAAAGGGUAUUUUGGGCUGAUUCGGGUUGUGAAUUUAGGUAUGGGUGUAAUGGGUAUUUGGGUAGAAUUUUUAGGUUUAAUUUUGGGUUUUAAUUUUUGGGCUGUGGUUAGUGGGUUUGUAUUUUGGGUUCUGUAAAAGGACUUUAAAUGGAUUGUUUAAUUUUAUUUCUUUGUUUAAUUUUAA